ensembl:lincRNA
GAGACAGGGUUUCUCUGUGUAGCCCUGAUUGUCCUGGAACUCACUCUGUAGACCAGGCUGACCACAAACUCAAGAGAUCCACCUGCCUCUGCCUCCCAAGUGCUUAGAAUAAAGAAAUGAGACAUCACCACCCAGCUGGGAGCCUGUCCCUAAAAUAAUAAUAAUAAUAAUAAUAAUAUGAAAUAAAUCAGAGCAGACAAAUUUUAAGAUUCAAGCCCUCAGCAACCAAAAAAAAAAAAAAUUAGCCAGAGGCAAUUAACAUACACUCUUACCUUAUAUUUAAGAGAAAAUAGUUAUAGUUUUUCCUCUUUUGAUUUGGUUUCUAAUAGGUUUGUGUGUAUGCAGAUGCCACACAUGUGCCAGUCAGAGGAUAAUCUCAAGGGGGCAUCUCAGGAACACUAUCUACCUCCUUUGAGACAUGCUGUCUCACCAGCCUACAGCUCAUCAAACAGGCUGGACUGGCUGCCCAUAAACCCGGGCAUCUUCUGUCUCUGCCUGUCCAGUUGGGAUCCCAGACAUGGACCAGUAACAGCCUUGAGUUCUAGGGACCAAACUCAGGUCUUGAGGUCUCUGCGGUAUGCAUCCGACAAACCGAGCUAUACUCCUAGCCUCCCCAAACGCUGGUUUGUUCAGACAGGGUCUUGCUGUUCCACUAUAUAGUCCUAGAGCUCACUGUGUAAAACAGACUGGCCCUGAACGUGUGGCAAUCUCCAUGCUUUUGCUUGCUUCGGGCUGCAGGUAUGCAACACCACACCCAGCUAAAUAGUAAAGGGUAGGCCAAUACCAAAAGACAAUACGUGAGAUGUCUGAUUCUACUGGAGUUAGGCAAGUUACUGCAGUUUAAGAAAUUGCUUUUUGCCAGCCGAUGGUAGUGCACGCCUUAAAUCCUAGCACUUGAGAGGCAGAGGCUGGUGGAUCUCUGAGUUCAGGACAGCCAGAGCUACAAAAAGAAACUCUCAUUCGAAAAACAAGACAAAACAAAACAAAAAAUUGCUUUUUAUCUGUUUUAAGCUUUACCAAGCCGGAGGCCUGUGACUUUAAACAAGUGACUUCUCCUUUCAUACACACACACAGAUAUAUGUGUAUACACACACACAUAUACAUACAUACAUAUACACAUACAUAUAUACACAUAUAUGUGUAUCCAUACAUACACAGAUAUAUGUGUACACACACACACACACACACACACACACACGGGUUUUUGUGUUUUUUUUUCUUUAAAGAGAUUUGUGUCUGUUUAAACGUCUCCACGGGCGUGUGAACUUACACAGUAGUAAAUUCUGGAUCUCAACUCCAGUCCUUAUGAUGGCCAGUGCCUUUAAACCACUGAGCCAUCUCUCCAGCCCCUGACUCCGCCCCUUUGAGCUUCAGGGACACAAGUUAACAAUACUGCUGUGACAGUUUCCUGGCACAGCACACAUACAAGAUAGUACCUUUCAGGCACAUGGUCAGCACCUACCUGGCCUGUAGAACCUCUAUAUGACACCGUCAUCUGGCACCCAUCACCCAGAUGUCAUUGUGCCCAGCAAUGAGUGUGAUUUAGCCUCCCCUUCCUCUAUACACUGACUUGGGGUUUUAUGAAAAAUAUAUCUGCUUAGGAGGUAAACAGAUCACAGAGCCAACCAUUCCCCCUUCCUAACUGGGCAAGCAUUGGCUCCACUCUGGCCCUGUUUCCCCUUUUACAGUAAAGACAAUGUGCUUAAUCUGGCUCCACUUAAAAGAGCAAUUAGCAGAGGUGAGGGUUUUCUUAAAAUCCAGAGUCUUUUCCCUAUCCCAAUUAGAGUCUGCAUUUCAUUUUUACUUUUCUUUUUUGUUUUUUUUUUUUUUUUUUUUUUUUUUUUUUUUGGUUUUUUUUUUUGAGACAAGGUCUCACUGUAUA